rnacentral:tRNA from 1 species
AGAGUAGUAGCUCAGGAGGUUAGAGCGUCAGAUUUUAAAGUUAGUUUUAUGAUUAUCUUUCAAAUAAAGGUCAAAUGAAACUUACUUCUUUUUAAAGUCCAAUCUGAAGGUCGCUGGUUCGAGUCCAGCCUGCUCUA